GUGUUUAACAAAGUCUCGGAAGCAGCAGUGACCCUGCAGAACAGUGGGAAGCUGGGAUUUGCCUUUGUGGUGCUGAGCCCCGGCACAGGCACUGCAGCCAGCCCUCUGCCUGGCGUGCCCCUGGUCGUGCCCAGCAUGGGUUACAUUGAACCUGGCAAGCAGCAAGUGCUGAAAGUCUAUUACCUGCCAGGAGUGCCUGGAGUCUUCUGCAGGGCUUUCCAGAUCCAAGUGGGUCACCUGGAGCCAGCAAAAAUCUGCCUGAAAGGAGAAGGGACCUUUCCCAGGAUCCACUUGGACCUGCCCAGGAACAUCAAAGGCAACGCCAAAUAUGAGAAGAUCC